rnacentral:rRNA from 9 species
AAAUUGAAGAGUUUGAUCAUGGCUCAGAUUGAACGCUGGCGGCAGGCCUAACACAUGCAAGUCGAACGGUAACAGGAAGCAGCUUGCUGCUUUGCUGACGAGUGGCGGACGGGUGAGUAAUGUCUGGGAAACUGCCUGAUGGAGGGGGAUAACUACUGGAAACGGUGGCUAAUACCGCAUAACGUCGCAAGACCAAAGAGGGGGACCUUCGGGCCUCUUGCCAUCAGAUGUGCCCAGAUGGGAUUAGCUGGUUGGUGAGGUAACGGCUCACCAAGGCGACGAUCCCUAGCUGGUCUGAGAGGAUGACCAGCCACACUGGAACUGAGACACGGUCCAGACUCCUACGGGAGGCAGCAGUGGGGAAUAUUGCACAAUGGGCGCAAGCCUGAUGCAGCCAUGCCGCGUGUAUGAAGAAGGCCUUCGGGUUGUAAAGUACUUUCAGCGGGGAGGAAGGUGUUG